rnacentral:rRNA from 1 species
CUGCUGCCUUCCGUAGGAGUUUGGGCCGUGUCUCAGUCCCAAUGUGGCCGUUCACCCUCUCAGGCCGGCUACUGAUCGUCGCCUUGGUGGGCUGUUACCCCGCCAACAAGCUAAUCAGACGCGGAUCCAUCGUAUACCACCGGAGUUUUUCACACCGUCUCAUGCGAGACUGUGCGCUUAUGCGGUAUUAGCACCUAUUUCUAAGUGUUAUCCCCCAGUAUACGGCAGGUUAUCCACGCGUUACUCACCCGU